rnacentral:rRNA from 1 species
UACAGAGGGUGCGAGCGUUAAUCGGAAUUACUGGGCGUAAAGCGUGCGCAGGCGGUUCGUUGUGUCUGAUGUGAAAGCCCCGGGCUCAACCUGGAAUGGCAUUGGAAACUGGCGAGCUGGAGUGUGGCAGAGGGGGGUGGAAUUCCAGGUGUAGCAGUGAAAUGCGUAGAUAUCUGGAGGAACACCGAUGGCGAAGGCAGCCCC